AUUGAACGCUGGCGGCAUGCUUUACACAUGCAAGUCGAACGGUAACAGGCCGCUUGCUCCUGACUUCUGGCGCACAGGUGUGUAAUACAUCUGAACAUGCCCCUUCGUGUGGGGUAACUACUCCGAAAACUAGCUCUUACCGCGCAUGCUCUAUGGGUGAAAGCGUGGGAGCUUUUCGCCCCUCGCGCUUUGAGCUGCCCCUAUGUCGGAUUAGGUAGUUGGUGGGGUAAAGGCACACCAAGGCAACGAUCCGUAUCUGGUCUGAGAGGAUGAACAGACACACUGGGACUGAGACACGGUCCAGACUCCUACGGGAGGCAGCAGUGGGGAAUAUUGGACAAUGGGCGAAAGCCUGAUCCAGCAAUGCCGCGUGCAGGAAGAAGGUCUUCGGGUUGUAAACUGCUUUUGGAAGGGAGGAAGCGGAGUUGGUUAAUACCCGGGGGUAAUGACGGUACCGAAAGAAUAAGCACCGGCUAACUACGUG
rnacentral:rRNA from 1 species